ACUGGAGAGAAGUAAUGACUCAGCCUAGCCCAAGCUCUUGCAGUGGAGAAGUGAUACAAAUGGAUCACUCGCUUGAGAGGGUAUGGUCUGCUAUUACAGAGCAGGACCUUCGGGCGUCAAGAGUCUCAUUAUCCUCGUCUCCGGGGCCUUAGAGGUUAAGCCCGAUGAACCUGAAUAUCCGUUAUGGAAAAUUCAUCAUUAAAAUUGUAAUAUUUAAAUAAUAUUAUGAGAAUAGUGUGCAUUUUUUCCAUAUAAGGACAUUGUAAUCUAUUAGCAUAUACCAAAUUUAUCAUAAAAUAUAACUUAUAGUUUAUUCCAAUUAAAUUGCUUGCAUUUUAACACAGAAUAAAUGUUAUUAAUUUGAUAAAGUGCUGAUAGAUUUAUAUGAUUACAGUGCGUUAAUUUUUCGGAAUUAUAUAAUGGCAUAAUUAUCAUUGAUUUUUGUGUUUAUUAUAUGCACUUGUAUGAUUAACAAUGCGAAAGAUUCAGGAUACCUUCGGGACCCGUCUUGAAACACGGACCAAGGAGUCUAACAUAUGUGCAAGUUAUUGGGAUAUAAACCUAAUAGCGUAAUUAACUUGACUAAUAAUGGGAUUAGUUUUUUAGCUAUUUAUAGCUAAUUAACACAAUCCCGGGGCGUUCUAUAUAGUUAUGUAUAAUGUAUAUUUAUAUUAUUUAUGCCUCUAACUGGAACGUACCUUGAGCAUAUAUGCUGUGACCCGAAAGAUGGUGAACUAUACUUGAUCAGGUUGAAGUCAGGGGAAACCCUGAUGGAAGACCGAAACAGUUCUGACGUGCAAAUCGAUUGUCAGAAUUGAGUAUAGGGGCGAAAGACCAAUCGAACCAUCUAGUAGCUGGUUCCUUCCGAAGUUUCCCUCAGGAUAGCUGGUGCAUUUUAAUAUUAUAUAAAAUAAUCUUAUCUGGUAAAGCGAAUGAUUAGAGGCCUUAGGGUCGAAACGAUCUUAACCUAUUCUCAAACUUUAAAUGGGUAAGAACCUUAACUUUCUUGAUAUGAAGUUCAAGGUUAUGAUAUAAUGUGCCCAGUGGGCCACUUUUGGUAAGCAGAACUGGCGCUGUGGGAUGAACCAAACGUAAUGUUACGGUGCCCAAAUUAACAACUCAUGCAGAUACCAUGAAAGGCGUUGGUUGCUUAAAACAGCAGGACGGUGAUCAUGGAAGUCGAAAUCCGCUAAGGAGUGUGUAACAACUCACCUGCCGAAGCAACUAGCCCUUAAAAUGGAUGGCGCUUAAGUUGUAUACCUAUACAUUACCGCUAAAGUAGAUGAUUUAUAUUACUUGUGAUAUAAAUUUUGAAACUUUAGUGAGUAGGAAGGUACAAUGGUAUGCGUAGAAGUGUUUGGCGUAAGCCUGCAUGGAGCUGCCAUUGGUACAGAUCUUGGUUGUAGUAGCAAAUAAUCGAAUGAGACCUUGGAGGACUGAAGUGGAGAAGGGUUUCGUGUGAACAGUGGUUGAUCACGAGUUAGUCGGUCCUAAGUUCAAGGCGAAAGCCGAAAAUUUUCAAGUAAAACAAAAAUGCCUAACUAUAUAAACAAAGCGAAUUAUAAUACACUUGAAUAAUUUUGAACGAAAGGGAAUACGGUUCCAAUUCCGUAACCUGUUGAGUAUCCGUUUGUUAUUAAAUAUGGGCCUCGUGCUCAUCCUGGCAACAGGAACGACCAUAAAGAAGCCGUCGAGAGAUAUCGGAAGAGUUUUCUUUUCUGUUUUAUAGCUACCAUGGAAGUCUUUCGCAGAGAGAUAUGGUAGAUGGGCUAGAAGAGCAUGACAUAUACUGUUGUGUCGAUAUUUUCUCCUCGGACCUUGAAAAUUUAUGGUGGGGACACGCAAACUUCUCAACAGGCCGUACCAAUAUCCGCAGCUGGUCUCCAAGGUGAAGAGUCUCUAGUCGAUAGAAUAAUGUAGGUAACGGAAGUCGGCAAAUUAGAUCCGUAACUUCGGGAUAAGGAUUGGCUCUGAAGAUUGAGAUAGUCGGGCUUGAUUGGGAAACAAUAACAUGGUUUAUGUGCUCGUUCUGGGUAAAUAGAGUUUCUAGCAUUUAUGUUAGUUACUUGUUCCCCGGAUAGUUUAGUUACGUAGCCAAUUGUGGAACUUUCUUGCUAAAAUUUUUAAGAAUACUAUUUGGGUUAAACCAAUUAGUUCUUAUUAAUUAUAACGAUUAUCAAUUAACAAUCAAUUCAGAACUGGCACGGACUUGGGGAAUCCGACUGUCUAAUUAAAACAAAGCAUUGUGAUGGCCCUAGCGGGUGUUGACACAAUGUGAUUUCUGCCCAGUGCUCUGAAUGUCAAAGUGAAGAAAUUCAAGUAAGCGCGGGUCAACGGCGGGAGUAACUAUGACUCUCUUAAGGGGAUCAUGGGGUAUUGGAGAGCAGAGGGGGAGUAUUCUUCUGUAAUUCGUAAGUCAUAUCAUAUGAUGUGCGGAAGGGGAAUUUUACUCUGUAACUCACAAGUCUCUCCUUUACUCAAGUCGACUCAAAACCUCCUCGUGGUGGUCCCCGGUAAUGCUAAACUCGUUUAGCAGCUAAUUUGAGCGGCAAAACUUUUCCGAUGGGCUGGUUCCCCAGAGGAAAUUUAUUCAUAUUGGAACUACAAGCACAAAUAACGAGCCUCGGAUACCUUUACACAAUCUGAUGACGACCCGACCCUCCGUGGAUAUCUUCCCGGAGGACCAAUAUGAACCAAACGCAGCGGCUACUCUAUCUAGGGUUCCCUGCACAGUAUGUGGCCGGUCCUUUAACAGCAAGAGAGGACUCGGUGUUCACAUGCGAUCUCGGCACCCAGACGAACUUGAUGAAGAACGUCGACGUGUCGAUAUAAAGGCAAGAUGGAGUGAUGAAGAGAAGUGGAUGAUGGCGAGAAAGGAGGUUGAGCUCACAGCAAAUGGAUGUAAACACAUAAACAAGCAACUAGCGGUGUAUUUUGCAAACCGCAGCGUCGAAGCCAUCAAAAAGCUAAGACAGAGGGGCGAUUAU
rnacentral:rRNA from 1 species